rnacentral:rRNA from 1 species
UGGGGAAUUUUGGACAAUGGGGGAAACCCUGAUCCAGCCAUCCCGCGUGUGCGAUGAAGGCCUUCGGGUUGUAAAGCACUUUUGGCAGGAAAGAAACGUCGCGGGUUAAUACCCCGCGAAACUGACGGUACCUGCAGAAUAAGCACCGGCUAACUACGUGCCAGCAGCCGCGGUAAUACGUAGGGUGCAAGCGUUAAUCGGAAUUACUGGGCGUAAAGCGUGCGCAGGCGGUUCGGAAAGAAAGAUGUGAAAUCCCAGAGCUUAACUUUGGAACUGCAUUUUUAACUACCGGGCUAGAGUGUGUCAGAGGGAGGUGGAAUUCCGCGUGUAGCAGUGAAAUGCGUAGAUAUGCGGAGGAACACCGAUGGCGAAGGCAGCCUCCUGGGGAUAACACUGACGCUCAUGCACGAAAGCGUGGGGAGCAAACAGGAUUAGAUACCCUGGUAGUCCACGCCCUAAACGAUGUCAACUAGCUGUUGGGGCCUUCGGGCCUUGGUAGCGCAGCUAACGCGUGAAGUUGACCGCCUGGGGAGUACGGUCGCAAGAUU